CAUUAAGAAGCUUCUACAGCACUAGCCUUUUAAGCUAGAGAGGAGGACUAAAACCCUCCUUAAUGAA
rnacentral:tRNA from 1 species